GCUCCACUAGAGGGCGACAUUAUGAAGUAGGCGGUGCACUACUUGUGCUCUCUGUUCAAGCAUUGUGUCAAUAAUAACUGCUGCUGUGAAGAGAAGAAUUGUCAGACUCAGUGUUGAACAUCAGCUACUUUCUCCUGUUGCUUUAAACCUUCUUGUAGAGAUGGAACAUUGGCUGUGGAUGAUUCUUGCUGCUCUUUUCUUUGAGUGUAAAGGAGAAGACAGAGUGAUCCAGGAAACAGGAGAUGUCAUUGCUGCUGAAGGAGAGACAGUUAUACUCCCUUGUAAAUAUGAGACCAGUGACCCAGGUCCAACUUUGUUCUGGUACAAACAAGAAGCAAAUGAUUUUCCAAAGCUUCUGCUGCAGCGCUUCCCAACAACAGCAGGUAAUCCUGCAGAUAAACAGAAAGAGAGAAUCGAUGCUGUGGCCAACAAGACAUCAGUUCCUCUGGAGAUCCAGAAGCUUCAGCUGUCUGACUCUGCUGUGUACUACUGUGCUCUGAGGCCCACAGUGACAGGAAACAGCACAACUCUGUACAAAAACCUUUGGAGCAAAGACAACAGAAUACUCCACAACAUCCACUAGAGGGAGUCACACACU